GGGGGUGUGGCUCAGUGGUAGAGUGCUUGCCUCACACGUGCAUGGCCCUGAGUUCGAUCCUCGGCACCACAU
rnacentral:tRNA from 1 species